ACGAGCAUAACCUGUCCUGUUUGCUGCAUUGUUUAUGUUCAUCAAUUUUAGACUUUCGUGCUGCUGUCUAAAUCACAGAAACAGGUUGCAGUGCUUUACGCUGUCCCUCUACCUGCUGGAGGGAAAAUUUGUAUAAGUGUCGCAGAAGUGUUCAUUUUUCUCGUUUCGAUAGACAUAGCCACUGCAAGACCACUGUCUUUAAAGCUUCACUGUCUAAAUAAUUUAGGAACUGAUCGACAUCAGCGGAACUGUGAUGGAACUGCAGUGUGACAUAUGUUUCAACCGUUAUGACCUGACAGACCACCGUCCUAAGAAUCUGCCCUGUGGUCAUACCAUCUGUAAUGAAUGUGUGCAAAAUCCAGCCUUGGGGGGAAAGUGUCCAGUUUGCAGGAAGGACCUGAACGCUGACCCCGCUGACAUCCCGGACAGCAUCCUAGCGAUCCGCCUGAUUGAAACCGACGGCGCGCCUCCUCACAAGAAGCCUUGGACAGGGGAGACAGAGGUCCAGCAGCUGCGGCGGGGCGU